CAUCCUGCCUUCGCUGGGCGGGGAUGACCUAGUGCAACCCUGCCUGCUGAAUGCACAGGGUUUGGUGCUGUUGCCAGAAUGGAGCCACUGCCGUCAUGUGGGAUCCACAGAGGCUGAGGAAGAGCAACCUGACUCCCAGCACACCCCAAUACACCUGCAGCCCCUCCAGAGAGACCCAGCUGCUACCAUAGGAUAAGCCACAACCUUACACUACAGCCACUGCAGGACCAACCAGACCUUUUGGAAUCCCCCUCUCUCCAACCCUGUAACGGUGUGCUCUUCCAAUAUGCUCCCCCACUUGAAGCUCCACAAUUGCAGGGACUCGGUGGGAUCCCAUGACUGCCUCCCUCCUUACCUGUCACGUUCAGCUGCCCACCCAGGAACCAGGAGACCCUGCCCUGGUGCAGAUCGCAGUCCUGGACAGAGUGGAAGGGGGUGAUCCAGGGGUCACAAGAGAGGGGCAGAAAAAGGCUCUCCCUGCAAGUAGAGCUGUUCUCAGUAAGGCACUCUGAUGGGAUCAACAGCAGACAUGAGAGGUUGGACACCAGCAUGGGGAACAGGAUCUAUCUGCCGUCAGGUACACUCAUCGCACACUAUACACCUGGUUAGUAUCAGAGCUGCCCCGAGAAAAUGGCACAUAAAUCACAGAUGCUGGAUGACUAGAAGUUGUUACAGCUCCAUAUCUCAAACACCUCAAUACUGAAUUCUUUUCUCACUGUAUAUACAUUAUUUACACCCCAUGGGCUAAAUCUAACACGUCAAACGACCAGGGGACAAAGACAAACAGGGGUUGGAUGAGCGGGCUGAACAUUUGACAGAAGAAAAACUGUGGGGAAAGGGUGCUCACAGCUGAAAGCAGGACAGAAAGGGGCACCUGGAAGUCACUGUCCUACAGCUUUUGGAGGGGGAAUAGUGCCCUACUGGGAUGGAAAGGUGAUGGUACCAUGGAGUGGGUUUGGCUGUGUGAGUCUGCAUGUGCUUAUAUGGCAUGUAUGUACACAUUACAGGGGGUAUCAGAGUGGACGUGCAUGGCUGUCAUUCCCUUUAACACUCAGAGGGUGAACUGGACAAAUUUAAAUCAAUAAAUACAUUAGGUGGAUGUUGUUGUCUCACCUGCAAUAAUGUAUUCAGUAAAUAAUUUCACCAUCUGGCCUCUCUGCAGGGGUGCAGGGCUUUGGCAUUUGGGGCAGAGUCAGACCCAAUUGUCCAGCACUGCAGGAGCCAGCAACAUGGGUUGGGGUCACCCCGAGUUGCCAGGUGGGACCAGGGUGUUUUGCCUGUGGGCUAAACCUGCCUCUCCUUGCCAAACAGGGGCAAAACAUAACCGGCCUAAAGUUGCAGCCCCUUCCCAGCAGACCCCAGUGCUGGGCAGGGAGAGAUGGGAGGAAAGUGCAAACUACCCUGCAUGGAUAGUCAUCAUUUCAUGCAAACACUGCCAUGGGCUUGCCCUGCUGUGGCCUGGGCCAAAGGCAGAGGUGAUGGCCAGGGGAAGGUAGUGGGUCUGCCUGGGGCAUGGUGGAAUAGGGCACAAUGGGAAGGGACCUAGGCAGCACUGGGGAGAGAAGUGCACCAAGGAGGGCCAUGGCAGCAGGGGACAUUGCUUCAGGAUGGCAGAUGGGCUUUGGGGCUGCAACAGCAGGAAAAAGCCCCAGAGACAGUCAUGAGGCUGAAGGGACCAGAGCCUUGGUGCCCUCUCGGGUGGCAAUGAUGAUGUGCGUCCCCCAAAAGGAAGGGGUGGGGAGUAAGGAAGGCCUGGUGGGGCAGAGGACUGAGGGACAAGGGUAUGCUCAAGGGGAGCAGGCAAUGGGCACCCCUGCCAGGCAGCCCCAAACACAGAAACCAGGGCCCUGCUCCCUGGCAGGGGUGGCCAGGGAGGCCUGACAGUCUGAGUAGGAACGUGGUCCCCAGAGGACAGAGUGUCUGUCGGGGCUGGCUUCCACCG